CAUGCAAGUCGAACGCUUCUUUCCUCCCGAGUGCUUGCACUCAAUUGGAAAGAGGAGUGGCGGACGGGUGAGUAACACGUGGGUAACCUACCCAUCAGAGGGGGAUAACACUUGGAAACAGGUGCUAAUACCGCAUAACAGUUUAUGCCGCAUGGCAUAAGAGUGAAAGGCGCUUUCGGGUGUCGCUGAUGGAUGGACCCGCGGUGCAUUAGCUAGUUGGUGAGGUAACGGCUCACCAAGGCCACGAUGCAUAGCCGACCUGAGAGGGUGAUCGGCCACACUGGGACUGAGACACGGCCCAGACUCCUACGGGAGGCAGCAGUAGGGAAUCUUCGGCAAUGGACGAAAGUCUGACCGAGCAACGCCGCGUGAGUGAAGAAGGUUUUCGGAUCGUAAAACUCUGUUGUUAGAGAAGAACAAGGACGUUAGUAACUGAACGUCCCCUGACGGUAUCUAACCAGAAAGCCACGGCUAACUACGUGCCAGCAGCCGCGGUAAUACGUAGGUGGCAAGCGUUGUCCGGAUUUAUUGGGCGUAAAGCGAGCGCAGGCGGUUUCUUAAGUCUGAUGUGAAAGCCCCCGGCUCAACCGGGGAGGGUCAUUGGAAACUGGGAGACUUGAGUGCAGAAGAGGAGAGUGGAAUUCCAUGUGUAGCGGUGAAAUGCGUAGAUAUAUGGAGGAACACCAGUGGCGAAGGCGGCUCUCUGGUCUG
rnacentral:rRNA from 1 species